GCGCAGUGCAAGCGAGCGAGAUCGAGCUCUUCCAUGAUCGAGUUUGGCGUAGAAAUGUCCCAAGGAAAAUGACAUGCAAGGUUGGAGUGACUGCAAUCGAUCGGCAGAUCAAUUCGCUUCCAAUCAGUUACUGAACUACUGAUUUAUAUAUCACAGCUUACCAAUCAGUACUGGUAUUAGUCAUGGGAGACGAUGAGAUUGUCCUCGAUGGAUCGAUAUGAUCAUUGUUGUACAGUAUGUAUAGCGCAUCUCUGCUAGCUGCAGGUCGCAGCAAGAAGAUACGAGGUAAAUUUCCCGAGAAAAGCCAUAGCAAUCAAUCAAUCAAUCAAUCAGUGGAGGGCGAGGCGCGUGUGUGUAUACAUAUACAUAUACUUUAUGAUAUAUAUUCUUGCUAAGGUCUUAAGGGGGGAGAGACAAGACAAGGCUCUCCUACAAGCUACAAUGCAAGUACUACGACGACACAUGAGCUGACAUUUGCUUUCGGGGCUGAUUGUAAAGUAGGAUGUCCAUUUGCUUGCAGGGGCAUGGCAUGAUUGGGAACAUGCGCAAUUGUGACCACCAAUGGCAAUGGGCUUUUUUAGAGUUAUGAAAUAAAAAAAGUUGCCACCUUUUCCCUGGUAUCUUCUUUAUUCUUCUUUUUUUUUGUGUGUGAAAUAUACAGUACCUUUUCCUGAUGAUGUCGCAAAGAGGCUCUCUGCCUCGGCUAUAUACGAAAGUAAGGCCAUAUAUAUUAGGAUAACGACGAUGAAUUAACAGGAUCCAUGUGUACUACGUACGCUGCAAAGGAUAAUAGUGAUGCUAUGCUAUUGGUUUGUUUAUAGAAGGAAAAAAAAAACAGCUAAAGAUCAGGGUUGAUGAAAUUUAUAAGAGCUCUUUUACAGUGGUUGGGAGUACCUCUUAGUUCCUCCUGAUUCCUAAGUAAUUAAUUAGUGAUAAUUAUUUUUAUGAGUGGAAGGUUAACAUGGUAAUUGCGGCUCCUCCUCCACCCCUUCUCCACGCACGCCUCGCCCACACGCACCUGAAGGACACAAUCUCGUGUCUCCGCCUGACAACAAGCCGGUUACUCCGAUCAAGGAAUCAGCUAGGUGGUUGAGUAUACGUGAUAUUGGAGGGACCGGCUAUAGAGGACAGGUAAUUAUGGAUCAAAUUUGCGUCUCCCUAUGAGCUGUUGCUGUGGUUGAGGUCACACAUUAAGUUCACAAAAAUUUCUCUCUGGUUGUAUGGACUAUAUCUUAGUGAGUUCGAGUUGCUGAAUUGCAGAAGGGAGUUAUAUAUGGUUGCCCACGUAUUA